GAACAUUUAUAAAUAAUUUUAUUCAAAAUCAUAAACAUAACUUAAACCAUUCUUACAUGCACAUAUCAUCCCUAAUUCAAACCCUCAAGGCCCUAAAAAUACUUUAGAAACAAUUCAGGACCAAUUUUAAAUCAUUUUAAAAGCUUAGGAAAAAUUCACAAAACAACUAACAACCAAAAACAUCCUAAGUACAUGUCAUUACAAAAUUAAACAUCACCACACUUAAGAUCGGGAUUGUUGUUGUUGGAUGCUAAGUCAGCAAUCAAAAUAGAGUACCUAACCUACGCACUGAAAACAAAAUCGCACGCUGAGUAAAACUCAGCGAUAUUUUUAUAACCCAAACAUUUUAAGACAUGAUAUGAUACAUUAAUGCUCAAAUUGAAUUAUAUCAUCAUACUACUACUUAAACAUACAAUUACAAGAUAUCACAAUUUCCAUUUCAUGCCUUUCAUCGCUUUAUUUCAUACUAUACUCAAUUUUCACAAACAUUCACCUUUAGUUGGUUUGAACAUAUAUCUCAAUUCACAUCACUUGCUAUAUGAAUAGCUUUGCAUAGAUCAAUCAAUAAUGUACUUCUGUCACGGCACAAACCAAUCCACAUUAAGCGACUUUACUUAUUUGAAUAAACACAAGUAUAUCUAAAGCAUUUGAAUUUAUUUUGCAACUUUAAUAAUCUAACUCAAGAAUAUAUCAUGUUUUUCAUGUAUCACCAUUUCAAUAAAUUUCAUACACAUGUGCCUUGGUGUAUGUUAAACACUUACCAUAGCCAUAAGCUAAAGAUUAAACACACAACUUAGCGAUAUCAUCACAUGGUAAGAUAUAAUUCAUAAACAUAACAUCUCUUAAAUCAUACCUUUCAUAUUCAUCAUAUUCAUACUUUAAUCAUUGACACAUCAUAUCUUUCCAUAUUUGUCAUAGUGAAGUCAAUUGAAACCCUUAACGGAGCUCACACAAAGUGUGUUAAACGAUGGUCGAAACCAUCCCUUUACUAUAAUCGAUGAAUACUGUGAAGACGAUUGAAACCCUGGUACACGUUUCCAUUGUGCCAUAGUCCAACUAUGGUCUUACAUAUGCAUUGCCAUGACCCUGUCGUGGUCUUAUAUUCGUAGUGCCAUAACCCAGUUAUGGUCUUAUCAUCAGAAUGUCAUAGCCCAGCUAUGGUCUUACAUAUAAACACUGCCAUGGUCCAACCAUGAUAUUACGUUCGUAAUGCCAUAAUCCAGUUAUGGUCUUAUCAUCAGAAUGCCAUAGCUCAGCUAUGGUCUUACAUAUAAACACCGCCAUGGUCCAACCAUGGUCUUACUUUCGUAAUGCCAUAACCCAAUUAUGGUCUUAUCAUCAGAAUGCCAUAACCCAGCUUUGGACUUACAUAUAAACGCUGCCAUAAUCCAACCAUGGUCUUCCAUUUGAAUAAUUGCAAUAACCUCUGUGACAGCCCUAAAUUGACCCUAGUCAGAAAGUGGUUUUGGGACCACGAAACCGAGUCUUAUAAAUAAUUAAAGGUUAUAUUCUGUGUUUAUGAUGUGCGUAAAUGCUUGUGUGAUAGUUCCAUACUUUAAUUUGGUCAGUGUAUGUGAAAUUUAUUAGUAGGGACUUAUGUGAGACAAUUUAGAAAUAUGCUAGGCAAGUGUUCAAGUGGCCAAUUAAUAUAUGUGGGAAAGUGCUUGUCCUUGCAUGUCAAAUUAGCCAAAUUAAAGCAUAGUGGCCGGCCAUGCUAUGGGUGGAAACAUGUCACAAACAUGUUAUGUUAGUGAUGUAUGUUAGGAAAAAUAAAAUAAGGAGUAUGGGCAAUAAAAUAAUAAUGGGAAGGUAAAUGAUGACAAAAAAAAAUGUGUGUGGUUGCCCCCCAUUGCCGUGAAUUGAAAAAAAAGAAGAAGAAGUUCUCAUGUUGUUCUUGGCCGAAUGGGAGAAAGAGAAGAAGAGGGAAGAGCUUUGAGAAAAUCGGCUAUGGUGGGUUGCUAGACUAAGGUAUGUUUGAUGUUGUCCAUGAGAUUCAUGCAUGUUUUUAGUUGUUAGUUUGAGUUCUACCUAGCCCAUGGUUUGAAUCUUUGCUAUGAGAUGGAGAUGAUAUUCGGCCAUGAGUGUUGUCUUCUUGGUUGAUGUUUGAUGUUGUGGUGAUGAGGCAUAAAGAUGCGACAAGUUUCAGCUAAGGUGGAUUUGUGUUGAUGUCAUUUGCAUGCUAAGUGUGAAGCUUUGUAAUGAUACAUGUGAUGGUGAUUGAUGACUCUUGGAUUUUCUUUUUGGCAUUUUUGAGUUAGACAUUAAGUUCUUUGUGUAACCCAUGACCAAAAUUGAAUGGUAUGGUGUCUUGAUGCAUUCGGCCAUGGUAGAAAGUAGAUGUGAAAUGGUAGUAAGGUGAAGUGCAAAAUGUUAGUAUUUGAUUACUAGUGUGUAUAUGUGUAUUAGCCUUGUUUUGAAUUUGAAACAAAAUGGUAUGUAGUCAAUACAAGCAACCAUAUUUGUAGGAAGUAUUAAGCAUAUAAUCGGCCUCAACCUAGACAUGUAUAUUCGGCCACAUGAAAUAGAUUUGUGUUGUAUGUGUUCGGUUAGAGGCAAGCAUAUUGAUGCUUUUAUCUUGGCUUAGAUAAUCGGCUAAAAGAGAGUGUGGGCUAAAAUGUUGAGUUUGAUUCAUGAUUCCAUAUAUAUGUGACUCUAAUGCCUAAUGUACAUAUGGGCAAAGUACCUUGAGGUCCUUUUUUGAUGUUCAAAUGAAUUGUGUUAAAUUGCUUAAUGUGAUUAAAAAUGCGCAUGACCAUUGUGUAUUUGAGCUAAAGGGUGGCCAUAUGACCUAUUAAACUCCUUGACAUAUUCGGCCAUAAGCUAGCAUAAUGAGACUUUAAUAAGUUAAAUUUGUUUGAAUUAGCUCAAGAGCUUAGAAGACCACAGUUGGAUAAGGGAAAGGAAAAAGUUAUCGAAUAGCCGCCGAAAUCGUUCGACCACAUCCGAGGUAAGUUUUCGAGUAAUGGAACUUAGAUUAUGAUUUGAUUAGAUCAUGUUUUAAGCAAAUCAAAAUCAUGCUCUUUGUAUGUGGCUAUUGAGCCGAAAUUGCAAGUGUGAUAAGUGUCUUGUGUUUGAGCUUUGGUAAUGAAAAUGAAAUACGGAUGUGUCAUGAUUUAUUGAUAAAUGUGCAUGGUUAUUCGAAUGAUGUCCGGGCUAAGUCCCGAAGGCUUUGUGCUAAGUGACUAUAUCCGGACUAAGAUCCGAAAGCAUUUGUCCGAGUUACUAAUUCCGGGCUAAGCCCGAAGGCAUUGGUGCGAGUUACUAAAUCCGGGUUAAGUCUCGAAGGCAUUUGUGCGAGUUACUAUAAUCGGGCUAUGUAUCGAAGGCAUUUGAACGAGUAGCUAUAUCCGGUUAUAUUCCGAAGGUACGUGAUUCGAGAAUGAGCGAUCUUGCUGUAAAAACUUCAGUUAAUACGCUUGUAAAAUCCCAACAAUGAGGUAUGUUUCGUAUGUGCAUUGGGAUAGUUGAUUCCCUUCGAAUAAUAUUCGCUCAGUCGAGUAAUGAGCUUCCGGUAUUUGGCUAAGAUGAUCCCUUAUGUAUGAAUAUAGGGGUUGGAAUGUGAAGUAGGAAUGAUUUGAGAAUAUGUAUAUAUGGAAUUAUCCGUUUAGUUAUAUGAAUGCUAUACUUCAGUUGUGCUGAAAUUCUUUGCUCAAAACUUACUAAGCAUUUAAUGCUUACUCCGCUUAUUUGAUUCUCUGUUUUAUAGAUUUUGGUUUGUCAGCUAUCAGACUCGGGAAUUUUGAAGUCGAAAUCGCCCACACUAUCAAAGCUCCUUUUGGUAUACUUUUGGUUGAACUUUGAAAUGGCAUGUAUAGGACUACCCUUUUGUUGUUGGUCAUGUACCCUUCGGUUUUGUGUAAAUUUGGAUAGCCAUGCGAAAAUGGCUUAAAUAUACUUUGAUCAUAGCAUUAUAAUCGUUUUGUAUGUUGUCCGUCGAGAGGUAUGGAAAUGUUGGUAACGGUUAGCCAUGGGAAUGGUUAUUCAUGAUCACUUUUGGUAUAUGUAUGACAAACUCUAGUUGAUCCAUGGAGGAUCAUGAAAUAGGUAAAGUUUACCUUAAAAAUAGAUGCUGGCAGCAGUAGUGAUAUGGAUGUGAAAAAUCACUAAAAAUAGUAAGAAUGAAAUUAAAUAGUGAAUAAUUUAUGUAAUCGUACCUUGAUGAAUUUAUUUUCAUAGGAAAGUAACGAAACGUUCAUAUGAACAGUAUAUUAUGAGAUGUUAAAGUUUUCGUGAGACAGGGCCAGAACGGUUCUGGAUCCCCUGAUCUGAUUUUGGAAAUUCAUUAUAAAUUAACCAGAGACAUUUAGAAGUCAUGCCAUAUAUGUAUAGAUUCAUUUUUGAGUCUAGUUUCUAUAGAAACAAACGGAAUCAGUAUUGAAGCCCUGUACAGGGAGAUAUCCAAGUUGUAAUGCAUGAAGGUCAGUGUAGUCACACCCUGUAACAGGGGAGACUUUAACUAAUAAACUGUACUAAUUGGCCUAACCAAAAAUUCUAGAAAAAAAUCUAUAGAUGGACAUAUGAGUCUAGUUUCAGAAAAAAAUUACGAAACUGAUUUUCGAGUUUUGGAACUCAAGAUAUGAUUUUUCAGGUGACAGUGACGCAGUUAGCCAACUGCCUGGAAAUUUUUAAAAUGGACUGUGAAAGUAAAUGAAUUAAGUCGAUUAGCACCUCGUGUUCGACUCCGGCAACGGUCUCGGGUACGGGGUGUUACAACCUUGCAAUGGUAUCAGAGCUACGGUUUAGUCGAUUUUAGGACUACCGUAAUACGUUUGGGUCUAGCUAUACAUGCCAUUAUGUGAUUAUUUGAUAGUGUGGUGAUUUCUGACAUUUGCAAAUGUGUUUACUUAUAGUAAUGGAUCCCGAUCCCGACCGAGCGGUAGCUGAUGUUCUUGAGAGUGUAGCGCCUUCUCCCACACAAGGGACAGCACUGGCGAACUCUCAACCUAUUGCUAGCAAUCCGAAUGAUGAGGCUAGGCAAGCUUUUUAUAGCGUGAUGAAUGAUUGGUUCAACCAAUACAUUCGAACUAAUACGGCUGUUCCACAACCUCCAUUCCCGACAAACACAACCCCCGCACCUACGAUACCUCCGGUAGCUGACCAAAUAAGGUCAAAUAAGCCCCCAGUUGACAGAAUCCGAAAGCAUGGGGCUACUGAAUUUAAAGCUACGGACAGCGAUGAUGCCGAGCAAGCUGAAUUUUGGUUGGACAACACUAUUCGGGUACUCGACGAGCUAUCUUGCACACCCGAUGAGUGCCUAAAGUGUACUAUCUCCUUGCUACGUGAUUCUGCCUACUAUUGGUGGAAUACGUUGACUUCUGUUGUGCCCAGAGAGCAAGUAACUUGGGAGUUUUUCCAAACCGAGUUUCAGAAAAAGUAUAUCAGUCAGAGAUUUAUGGAUCAAAAAUGGAAGGAAUUUCUUGAACUUAAACAAGGUUCCAUGUCGGUUACCGACUAUGAACGAAAAUUUGUAAGGCUUAGCCGAUACGCACGAGAAUGCAUUUCCUCAGAAGCCGUAAUGUGUAAACAUUUCGAGGAUGGACUGAAUGAUGAUAUAAAGCUGUAUCUUGGCAUCUUGGAAAUUCAAGAAUUUGUGGUACUUAUCGAACGAGCUUGCAAAGCCGAGGAGCUCAGUAUGGAGAAAAGAAAAGCUGAGGUGGGAGCAAAAGAGUUUCGUAAGAGGUCUUCGGGGAAGCCCUUCCCACAGUCAUUGAAGAAAUUUAGAGAUGGCUUAGGCCGGUCGAGAGACACUUCGGGCUUUUCUAGACGAGAUCGCGAUCGACCCCCUGUGAGUGCACGAGUCACUUCAGUCGCCAGUGUUGGAAAUGAUCGUCGAGACAGAGUGGAGUGCCAGUAUUGUGGUAAAUGGCAUUCGCGGAGUUGUAGAUUCCACGACCGCUCCUGUUACAAGUGCGGAUCGGUUGACCACUUUAUUAAAGAUUACUUGAGGUUGUUUGAACAGAAUGUGAAUCAGAGUGGGAAGCCUGGUGCUACUACUGCUCGGGGUAGACCAUCUAGGAAUACGGGCAAUGCUAGGUGCGGUCAGAGAGGAUCUAAAGAUGCUACAACCAGAUUUGAGGCUCGUGCUCCUACUAGGGCUUAUGCUAUACGUGCACGCGAGGAUGCUUCCUCGCCAGAUGUUAUUACCGGUACUUUUACUCUCUUUGAUACUAAUGUGAUUGCUUUGAUUGACCCUGGUUCUACUCAUUCUUAUAUAUGCGAAACCUUAGCAUCCAGUAAGACUUUACCUAUUGAGUCUACUGAGUUCGUAAUUCGGGUGUCAAAUCCCUUGGGUCGUUACGUGCUUGUCGACAAAGUGUGUAAGAAAUGCCCCCUAGUAAUUCGAGGUUCCUGUUUUUCGGUGGACUUGAUGCUUUUGCCGUUUGAUGAAUUUGAGGUUAUUAUUGGUUUGGAUUGGUUGACCGUGCAUGAUGCGGUUGUGAAUUGCAAAAUCAAGACUAUUGAUUUGAGGUACGCAAAUAACGAGAUAAUCCGAGUUGAGUCUACGGACUUAAAGGGGUUGCCAACUGUAAUAUCAGCAAUGUUGGCCCAGAAAUAUGUAAGAAAGGGGUGCGAAGCAUACCUUGCGUAUGUACUUGAUGACAAAGAGUUAGAAAAGAAACCCGAAUCUGUGCCAGUGGUUUGUGAAUACCCGGAUGUUUUUCCCGAAGAAUUACUGGGUUUACCACCUGUUCGGGAGGUAGAGUUUGGUAUUGAGCUUGUACCUGGGACUACGCCGAUUUCGAUAGCUCCGUAUCGUAUGGCACCAACCGAGUUAAAAGAGUUGAAAGCUCAGUUGCAAGAAUUGACGGAUAGAGGUUUCGCUCGACCAAGUUUCUCACCUUGGGUGCACCAGUAUUGUUUGUGAAAAAGAAGGACGAAACCAUGAGGUUGUGCAUCGACUAUCAUCAGCUGAAUAAGGUGACAAUAAAGAAUAAAUAUCCGAUGCCACGUAUUGACGAUUUGUUUGAUCAACUAAAGGGAGCCUCAGUGUUUUCAAAGAUAGAUUUGAGAUCGGGUUAUUACCAGUUGCGAAUUCGAGAUUCGAAUAUACCCAAAACUGCUUUCAGAACGAGAUACGGUCACUAUGAGUUCUUAGUGAUGCCGUUUGGGCUCACUAAUGCCCCUGCGGUAUUUAUGGAUUUGAUGUAUCGGAUCUUCAGACCGUAUUUGGAUCGGUUUGUAGUCGUGUUUAUCGAUGAUAUUUUGGUUUAUUCGAGAAAUGAAACCGAUCAUGCUGAACACCUGGGAUUAGUGUUGCAAAUUUUACGGGAUAAGCAGUUAUAUGCUAAGUUCAGUAAGUGUGAGUUCUGGUUAAGAGAGGUUAGCUUCUUGGGUCAUGUGGUAUCCGCAUCGUGUAUUCGAGUUGACCCGAGCAAAAUUUCGGCCAUACUUAACUGGAAGCCUCCAAGAAAUAUUACUGAGGUUCGGAGCUUUUUGGGACUUGCCGGUUACUACCGACGGUUUGUGAAAGGUUUCUCAAUGAUAACCACACCAAUGACGAAACUACUUCAGAAGGAUGUUAAGUUUGAAUGGACAGAAAAGUGUCAGAAAAGUUUCGAACAAUUGAAAACUCACUUGACAGAAGCUCCAGUACUAGUGCAGCCCAAAUCAGGCAAAGAGUUCGUCAUUUAUAGUGAUGCAUCCCUACUUGGGUUGGGUUGCGUAUUGAUGCAAGAAGGUCGAGUUGUGGCCUAUGCGUCGAGACAAUUGAAGCCACACGAGAAAAAUUACCCGACCCAUGAUCUCGAACUAGCUGCCAUCGUAUUUGCCUUGAAAAUAUGGCGACAUUAUUUAUUUGGUGAGAAGUGCCAUGUAUAUUCGGAUCACAAAAGUCUCAAAUAUUUGAUGACUCAAAGAGACUUGAAUCUGCGACAAAGGCGUUGGCUUGAGUUGUUAAAAGAUUACGAGCUUGUCAUUGAUUAUCACCCGGGAAAGGCUAAUGUGGUUGCGGAUGCCUUAAGCCAGAAAUCACUGUUUGCUUUACGAGCGAUGAAUGUACACUUGUCUGUUCUACCCGACAAUGUGUUAGUAGCUGAAUUAAAGGCCAAACCAUUAUUGAUUCAUCAAAUUCGUGAAGCUCAGAAAGUCGACGAUGAAUUGGUUGCAAAACGGGCUGAAUGUGUUCCGAAUAUGGAAUCUGAAUUUCAAAUUGAUGAUGACGAUUGUUUGAGGUUCAGAAGUCGGUUGUGUGUUCCAAGAAAUUCAGAACUCAUUUCGAUGAUUCUGAACGAAGCUCAUUGUAGCCGAAUGUCAAUUCACCCGGGGAGUACGAAAAUGUACAACGAUCUGAGACGCCAGUUUUAGUGGCAUGGUAUGAAACGAGACAUUUCCGAUUUUGUUUCGAAGUGCUUAGUAUGUCAACAAGUGAAGGCGGAACAUCAAGUGCCUACGGGUUUGCUUCAGCCGAUCAUGAUACCUGAAUGGAAAUGGGAACGAGUCACGAUGGAUUUUGUAUCUGGGUUGCCAAUGUCGGCAAGUAAGAAAGAUGCGAUUUGGGUUGUUGUUGAUAGACUGACUAAGUCAGCUCACUUUAUCCCCGUACGUACGAAUUUUUCAUUGGAUAAACUAGCUGAAUUGUAUGUUUCUCAGAUUGUGAGAUUACACGGGGUACCGAUUUCUAUUGUGUCGGAUAGAGAUCCGAGAUUCACCUCGCGAUUUUGGAAGAAAUUGCAAGAAGCUUUGGGUACCAAGCUGCAUUUUAGCAUCGCUUUUCAUCCACAAACCGAUGGCCAAUCCGAGCGGAUAAUUCAGAUACUUGAGGAUAUGUUGAGAUGUUGCAUCCUCGAGUUCAGUGGUUCGUGGGAGCGGUAUUUACCUUUGAUUGAAUUCGCUUACAAUAAUAGUUUUCAAUCAAGUAUUAAGAUGGCACCUUACGAGGCCUUGUACGGGCAUAAAUGCUGUACACCAUUGUUUGGGACUGAGCUCGGUGAAAGUAAAAUUUUCGGAAUGGAUUUGAUUAAAGAUGCUGAACAGAAAGUAAGAAUAAUUUGUGAAAGUCUGAAGGCAGCAUCAGAUCGUCAGAAGUCGUAUGCGGAUUUAAAACGAAGAGAUAUUGAGUAUCAGGUGGGAGACAGUGUUUCUUAAGGUCUCACCUUGGAAAAAGAUACUCAGAUUUGGCCGUCAGGGCAAGUUGAGUCCGAGAUUCAUUGGGACGUACGAAAUCUCCGAACGAGUUAGUCCAGUUGUGUAUAGAUUGAUUUUGCCCCCUGAACUUGAAAAGAUUCAUGACGUCUUUCAUGUUUCGAUGCUUUGACGUUGUAGAUCUGAUUCGUCACACAUAAUAAGUCCCUCCGAGGUUGAAAUUCAAACCGAUAUGAGUUAUGAAGAAGAACCAAUUCGUAUCCUAGCUCGUGAAGUGAAAGAGUUGCGAAACAAAAGGGUUCCGUUAGUAAAAGUGCUAUGGCUUAAACACGGAAUCGAAGAAGCUACUUGGGAGACCGAGAACUCUAUGAGAGAACGAUACCCAAACCUAUUUACCGGUAAGAUUUUCGGGGACGAAAAUUUCUUAAGUGGGGGAGUGUUGUGACAGCCCUAAAUUGACCCUAGUCGAAAAGUGGUUUCGGGACCACGAAACUGAGUCUUAUAAAUAAUUAAAGGUUAUAUUCUGUGUUUAUGAUGUGCGUAAAUGCUUGUGUGAUAGUUCCAUACUUUAAUUUGGUCAGUGUAUGUGAAAUUUAUUAGUAGGGACUUAUGUGAGACAAUUUAGAAAUAUGCUAGGCAAGUGUUCAAGUGGCCUAUUAAUAUAUGUGGGAAAGUGCUUGUCCUUGCAUGUCAAAUUAGCCAAAUUAAAGCAUAGUGGCCGGCCAUGCUAUGGGUGGAAACAUGUCACAAACAUGUUAUGUUAGUGAUGUAUGUUAGGAAAAAUAAAAUAAGGAGUAUGGGCAAUAAAAUAAUAAUGGGAAGGUAAAUGAUGACAAAAAAAAUGUGUGUGGUUGCCCCCCCAUUGCCGUGAAUUGAAAAAAAGAAGAAGAAGAAGUUCUCAUGUUGUUCUUGGCCGAAUGGGAGAAAGAGAAGAAGGGGGAAGAGCUUUGAGAAAAUCGGCUAUGGUGGGUUGCUAGACUAAGGUAUGUUUGAUGUUGUCCAUGAGAUUCAUGCAUGUUUUUAGUUGUUAGUUUGAGUUCUACCUAGCCCAUGGUUUGAAUCUUUGCUAUGAGAUGGAGAUGAUAUUCGACCAUGGGUGUUGUCUUCUUGGUUGAUGUUUGAUGUUGUGGUGAUGAGGCAUGAAGAUGAGACAAGUUUCAGCUAAGGUGGAUUUGUGUUGAUGUCAUUUGCAUGCUAAGUGUGAAGCUUUGUAAUGAUACAUGUGAUGGUGAUUGAUGACUCUUGGAUUUUCUUUUUGGCAUUUAUGAGUUAGACAUUAAGUUCUUUGUGUAACCCAUGACCAAAAUUGAAUGGUAUGGUGUCUUGAUGCAUUCGGCCAUGGUAGAAAGUAGAUGUGAAAUGGUAGUAAGGUGAAGUGCAAAAUGUUAGUAUUUGAUUACUAGUGUGUAUAUGUGUAUUAGCCUUGUUUUGAAUUUGAAACAAAAUGGUAUGUAGUCAAUACAAGCAACCAUAUUUGUAGGAAGUAUUAAGCAUAUAAUCGGCCUCAACCUAGACAUGUAUAUUCGGCCACAUGAAAUAGAUUUGUGUUGUAUGUGUUCGGUUAGAGGCAAGCAUAUUGAUGCUUUUAUCUUGGCUUAGAUAAUCGGCUAAAAGAGAGUGUUGGCUAAAAUGUUGAAUUUGAUUCAUUAUUCCAUAUAGAUGUGACUCUAAUGCCUAAUGUAUAUAUGGGCUAAGUACCUUGAGGUCCUCUUUUGAUGUUCAAAUGAAUUGUGUUAAAUUGCUUAAUGUGAUUAAAAAUGCGCAUGACCAUUGUGUAUUUGAGCUAAAGGGUGGCCAUAUGACCUAUUAAACUCCUUGUCAUAUUCGGCCAUAAGCUAGCAUAAUGAGACUUUAAUAAGUUAAAUUUGUUUGAAUUAGCUCAAGAGCUUAGAGAACCACAGUUGGAUAAGGGAAAGGAAAAAGUUAUCGAAUAGCCGCCGAAAUCGUUCGACCACAUUCGAGGUAAGUUUUCGAGUAAUGGAACUUAGAUUAUGAUUUGAUUAGCUCAUGUUUUAAGCAAAUCAAAAUCAUGCUCUUUGUAUGUGGCUAUUGAGCCGAAAUUGCAAGUGUGAUAAGUGUCUUGUGUUUGAGCUUUGGUAAUGAAAAUGAAAUACGGAUGUGUCAUGAUUUAUUGAUAAAUGUGCAUGGUUAUUCGAAUGAUGUCCGGGCUAAGUCCCGAAGGCUUUGUGCUAAGUGACUAUAUCCGGACUAAGAUCCGAAAGCAUUUGUGCGAGUUACUAAUUCUGGGCUAAGCCCGAAGGCAUUGGUGCGAGUUACUAAAUCCGGGUUAAGUCCCGAAGGCAUUUGUGCGAGUUACUAUAACCGGGCUAUGUCCCGAAGGCAUUUGAACGAGUAGCUAUAUCCGGUUAAAUUCCGAAGGUACGUGAUUCGGGAAUGAGCGAUCUUGCUGUAAAAACUUCAGUUAAUACGCUUGUAAAAUCCCAACAAUGAGGUAUGUUUCGUAUGUGCAUUGGGAUAGUUGAUUCCCUUCGAAUAAUAUUCGCUCAGUCGAAUAAUGAGCUUCCGAUAUUUGGCUAAGAUGAUCCCUUAUGUAUGAAUAUAGGGGUUGGAAUGUGAAGUAGGAAUGAUUUGAGAAUAUGUAUACAUGGAAUUCUCCGUUUAGUUAUAUGAAUGCUAUACUUCAGUUGUGCUUAAAUUCUUUGCUCAAAACUUACUAAGCAUUUAAUGCUUACUCCGUUUCUUUGAUUCUCUGUUUUAUAGAUUUUAGUUUGUCAGCUAUCGGACUCGGGAAUUUUGAAGUCGAAGUCUCCCACACUAUAAAGCUCCUUUUGGUAUACUUUUGGUUGAACUUUGAAAUGGCAUGUAUAGAACUACCCUUUUGUUGUUGGUCAUGUACCCUUCGGUUUUGUGUAAAUUUGGAUAGCCAUGCAAAAAUGGCUUAAAUAUACUUUGAUCAUAGCAUAAUAAUCGUUUUGUAUGUUGUCCGUCGAGAGGUAUGGAAAUUUUGGUAACGGUUAGCCAUGGGAAUGGUUAUUCAUGAUCACUUUUGGUAUAUGUAUGACAAACUCUAGUUGAUCCAUGGAGGAUCAUGAAAUAGGUAAAGUUUACCUUAAAAAUAGAUGCUGGCAGCAGCAGUGUUGUGGAUGUGAAAAAUCACUAAAAAUAGUAGGAAUGGAAUUAAAUAGUGAAUAAAUUAUGUAAUCGAACCUUGAUGAAUCUAAUUUCAUAGGAAAGUAACGAAACGUUCAUAUGAACAGUAUAUUAUGAGAUGUUAAAGUUUUCGUGAGACAGGGCUAGAACGGUUUCUGAAUCCCCUGAUCUGACUUUGGAAAUUCAUUAUAAAUUAACCAGAUACAUUUAGAAGUCAUGCCAUAUAUGUAUAGAUUCAUUUUUGAGUAUAGUUUCUAUAUAAAGAAACAGAAUCAGUAUUGAAGCCCUGUACAGGGAGAUAUCCAAGUCGUAAUGCAUGAAGGUCAGUGUAGUCGCACCCUGUAAUAGGGGAGACUUUAACUAAUAAAAUGUACUAAUUGGCCUGACCAAAAAUUCUAGAAAAAAAUAUGUAGAUGGACAUAUGAGUCUAGUUUCAGAAAAAAAUUACGAAACUGAUUUUCGAGUUUUGGAACUCAAGAUAUGAUUUUUAAGGUGACAGUGACGCUGUUAGCCAACUGCCUGGAAAUUUUUAAAAUGGACUGUGAAAGUAAAUGAAUUAAGUCGGUUAGCACCUCGUGUUUGACUCCGGCAACGGUCUCGGGUACGGGGUGUUACAACCUCGCAAUGGUCUUAUGUGCGAAUGCAACCUGUCUCCAUUGAUUUCAGAAAUUGUCAUUUUCGUUACUUUUUACAAUUCGUUCUAUCAACAAAUAAAUUUAAUAUCAAUAAUUUUACAUCAUUUAAACUUUAAUAUUCAUAAACACUUAGAAAUAUAAUUGAGUUCAUAUUAAUGAACUUACAGAGCUAAUUUGCAGUAAUGGCUCCGAGUUUCUCAAUCAAUGAUUGACAUAAUAACAAUUCAUUAUUUUAUUCCAUAAUGCCACAUUCUAUCUAUUUAUGAUCAUGUCAAUAUCCAUUCAUUAGAGCUUAAACAAACAAAAAUAAAAACAUACUUAAAUAACAAUUAACUAAUUAAAUUAAGUAAAUGACGUUCGAGUUUCAAGACUACGAACUUACCUAGCAUGUAAACACGAGAUUUUAUUUAACUCCAUACAUUAACCAACAUUAUUCAACUUCAAUCUCAUCAUUCGACUAUACAUCUCCAUAUAUAACAUUUCCGUACUAUCAAUUUAAAUUCUAAUCACUUAUUGAUUCAUUUCAUAUUGUCACACUUCAUAUAUAUAUAUAAUACACAAUUUCUCAUCUCAUAAUUUAAUCAUUUGCCUAUAUGCAAAUAUAAUUAAGAUAUCAAAGUAAUAAUUAAGUAUUUAAAUUAAAUAAAUAGAUUUCGAGUUCAAAGACUACGAACUUACUCGGAAAAACAUAAUAAAAAUGUCUUGCUUUGGACAGCAUAAACACUUCUUUAAUACUAUCAUUUAAUUUAGCACAAAAAUAAUAGAAAUGUCUAGCUUGGACAGCACUUAAUACAUGCUUUGGACGACAUUUAAAGCUUAUUUUAGACAACAUUCCUCACGAAAAGAACAAGACAACAUUUUUGAAUAAUAACGACCUUAACCACAACAUCAAUAGCUUUUAAAUCAGAAUUUUCCUUUGUAUCAAAUGAACUCUUCAACCGAAAACAUAAGUAGGAAAACAUAGAAAUUUAAGCAAUUAAAAUUUGACAAAGGCCAAGAAAGGCUCACAAUUAAACAUGAUUGAGUUCUUACUAGCAGGGCAUUUCAUUCUAAACACACAAUCAAACAUUACAUUACAUAUAAAAUUUCAAUAUUUUAUACAUACAGUACUCGUAUAUAUAUUGUCUUAUAGUUCGAUAAUGAUAUAUCAAAGCCACCAAAAAGCAUUUAAUUAAUUAUUCAAGAUCAUGCAAUGUACUAAUUUAAUUCUUUUUUUUAAGUAUAUAAGCUCUUGACCUGUUUUGAAACAGAACAACAAUAACAAUUAUUAAAUAGACAGGGUUAAAUUACAUACACAUUUCAUCUAUUUAAGUAGGGCAAUUUAGACAUGCUUAAUUACAACGUUCAUUUGGACAUGAUUAAUCUCCUGUAUACAUUCAGACAUAUUAAACUCUAGCAUGCCUUUAGAUAUUAAUUUCUAGCACGCAUUCGAAUACUUUUUGAGCUAACAACGAUUAAAUUUUCAGACAAUUUAACCCCCUACAUCCAUUCAUCAAAUACUUGUUUCUUAGUUUCAACUAUUAAUAAUGAGACAUUACUAAAAUUGAAACUUUUGGACAGUAAUAUAAACAAUAAUUUAAACUAUUUUAAACUCCCAAAUUUUAAACUCCUCAAGCAUAAACCGAACAGCAAUGCACAUUAGUCCAACCAUAUUUAUUUUGUGCAUUUUACCCACAGUACAAGAUACGCAAAAUUUAACAGCAACCCAAAUCAAGCGACAUCCUUAAUCUUUUUCUCUUCAAUUGAAUAAUCAAGAGAUAGUUCCCACAACUUCCAGUCAAAUUCAACAAUUUUUUUUUUUGUGUUAGAAUAAUAAAAGAAUUUUAAAUGAUUUGAAUUCAAGAACUCACCAGAAAUUCCAAGCCGAGCCUAGCCUUGAACCAGUUCUUCCCCCAUCUUGCUGCUGCCUUUCCUUUAGACGAAUGGAAAAGGGAUUUUUCCUUCUCCCCCCAGAAAUUCGAACAGUAACCCGAAAAUAAGCUGAAAUUUCUUUCAUUUCCACCAGCCUAAGAAAAAAAAUAUUCGGAUGGAAGAAAGAAAAUUAAAAGAAAAAAAAAAUAUCCUUGGCUUUCUUCUCUCCACAUGUUUUUAUAUUUU
rnacentral:lncRNA from 1 species